UACGGAGGGGGCUAGCGUUGUUCGGAAUUACUGGGCGUAAAGCGCACGUAGGCGGACGAGAAAGUCAGAGGUGAAAUCCCAGGGCUCAACCUUGGAACUGCCUUUGAAACUUCUUGUCUUGAGGUCGAGAGAGGUGAGUGGAAUUCCGAGUGUAGAGGUGAAAUUCGUAGAUAUUCGGAGGAACACCAGUGGCGAAGGCGGCUCACUGGCUCGAUACUGACGCUGAGGCACGAAAGCGUGGGGAGCAAACAGGAUUAGAUACCCUGGUAGUCCACGCCGUAAACGAUGUGCGCUGGAUGUUGGGUGGCCUAGCCACUCAGUGUCGUAGCUAACGCGGUAAGCGCACCGCCUGGGGA
rnacentral:rRNA from 1 species